GACGUAGGGCGCGAGCGUUGUCCGGAUUUAUUGGGCGUAAAGAGCUCGUAGGCGGCUUGUCGCGUCGACCGUGAAAACUUGGGGCUCAACCCCAAGCCUGCGGUCGAUACGGGCAGGCUAGAGUUCGGUAGGGGAGACUGGAAUUCCUGGUGUAGCGGUGAAAUGCGCAGAUAUCAGGAGGAACACCGGUGGCGAAGGCGGCUACCUGGACAGAAACUGACGCUGAGGCGCGAAAGCUAGGGGAGCAAACAGG
rnacentral:rRNA from 1 species